rnacentral:rRNA from 1 species
AUUGAACGCUGGCGGCAUGCCUUACACAUGCAAGUCGAACGGUAACGCGGGGCAACCUGGCGACGAGUGGCGAACGGGUGAGUAAUACAUCGGAACGUGCCCAGUAGUGGGGGAUAGCCCGGCGAAAGCCGGAUUAAUACCGCAUACGACCUACGGGUGAAAGCGGGGGAUCGCAAGACCUCGCGCUAUUGGAGCGGCCGAUGUCAGAUUAGCUAGUUGGUGGGGUAAAAGCCUACCAAGGCGACGAUCUGUAGCUGGUCUGAGAGGACGACCAGCCAUACUGGGACUGAGACACGGCCCAGACUCCUACGGGAGGCAGCAGUGGGGAAUUUUGGACAAUGGGGGCAACCCUGAUCCAGCCAUGCCGCGUGCGGGAAGAAGGCCUUCGGGUUGUAAACCGCUUUUGUCGGGGAAGAAACGGUCUGCGCUAAUACCGCGGACUAAUGACGGUACCCGAAGAAUAAGCACCGGCUAACUACGUGCCAGCAGCCGCCGUAAAAC